UACAGAGGUCCCAAGCGUUGUUCGGAUUCACUGGGCGUAAAGGGUGCGUAGGUGGCGGGGUAAGUCAGGUGUGAAAUCUCGAGGCUCAACCUCGAAACUGCACUUGAUACUGCCUUGCUUGAGUACUGGAGAGGAGAUUGGAAUUUACGGUGUAGCAGUGAAAUGCGUAGAUAUCGUAAGGAAGACCAGUGGCGAAGGCGAAUCUCUGGACAGUUACUGACACUGAGGCACGAAGGCCAGGGGAGCAAACGGG
rnacentral:rRNA from 1 species